AGGGAAACCGAGUCUUAACUGGGCGUUAAGUUGCAGGGUAUAGACCCGAAACCCGGUGAUCUAGCCAUGGGCAGGUUGAAGGUUGGGUAACACUAACUGGAGGACCGAACCGACUAAUGUUGAAAAAUUAGCGGAUGACUUGUGGCUGGGGGUGAAAGGCCAAUCAAACCGGGAGAUAGCUGGUUCUCCCCGAAAGCUAUUUAGGUAGCGCCUCGUGAACUCAUCUUCGGGGGUAGAGCACUGUUUCGGCUAGGGGGUCAUCCCGACUUACCAACCCGAUGCAAACUGCGAAUACCGAAGAAUGUUAUCACGGGAGACACACGGCGGGUGCUAACGUCCGUCGUGAAGAGGGAAACAACCCAGACCGCCAGCUAAGGUCCCAAAGUCACAGUUAAGUGGGAAACGAUGUGGGAAGGCUCAGACAGCCAGGAUGUUGGCUUAGAAGCAGCCAUCAUUUAAAGAAAGCGUAAUAGCUCACUGGUCGAGUCGGCCUGCGCGGAAGAUGUAACGGGGCUAAACUGUGCACCGAAGCUGCGGCAGCGACGCUUAUGCGUUGUUGGGUAGGGGAGCGUUCUGUAAGCCUGCGAAGGUGUCCUGUGAGGGAUGCUGGAGGUAUCAGAAGUGCGAAUGCUGACAUAAGUAACGAUAAUGCGGGUGAAAAGCCCGCUCGCCGGAAGACCAAGGGUUCCUGUCCAACGUUAAUCGGGGCAGGGUGAGUCGACCCCUAAGGCGAGGCCGAAAGGCGUAGUCGAUGGGAAACGGGUUAAUAUUCCCGUACUUGGUGUUACUGCGAAGGGGGGACGGAGAAGGCUAUGUUGGCCGGGCGACGGUUGUCCCGGUUUAAGCGUGUAGGCUGGUUUUCCAGGCAAAUCCGGAAAAUCAAGGCUGAGGCGUGAUGACGAGGCACUACGGUGCUGAAGCAACAAAUGCCCUGCUUCCAGGAAAAGCCUCU
rnacentral:rRNA from 1 species